rnacentral:rRNA from 1 species
CCUACGGGUGGCAGCAGUGAGGAAUAUUGGUCAAUGGACGAGAGUCUGAACCAGCCAAGUAGCGUGAAGGAUGACUGCCCUAUGGGUUGUAAACUUCUUUUAUAUGGGAAUAAAAUGUUCCACGUGUGGGCUUUUGUAUGUACCAUAUGAAUAAGGAUCGGCUAACUCCGUGCCAGCAGCCGCGGUAAUACGGGGGAUGCAAGCGUUAUCCGGAUUUAUUGGGUUUAAAGGGUGCGUAGGCUGUGAGGUAAGUCAGCGGUGAAAUGCCCCCGCUCAACGGGGUGAAGUGCCAUUGAUACUGGCUUGCUGGAAUGCGGAUGAAGUGGGAGGAAUGUGUGGUGUAGCGGUGAAAUGCAUAGAUAUCACACAGAACACCGAUUGCGAAGGCAGCUCACGAAUCCGCGAUUGACGCUGAUGCACGAAAGCGUGGGUAUCAAACAGGAUUAGAUACCCUUGGAGUC